GUGUAUGGCUAUACCACCCUGAAUGCACCCGAUCUCAUUUGAUCUCCGAAGCUAAGCAGGGUCGGGCCUGAGUAGUACUAGGACGAGAGAAUUUACCUACAAAUGCAAUGAAAUAUGUGAAGGUGCUUUAUAGA
rnacentral:rRNA from 1 species